rnacentral:lncRNA from 1 species
GGUACUUGACUUUCAACACUUGGUGGUGCAGGAGCAUUAUUUGGUGGCUCUGACGGUACAUGUUCAGUACUUGGUGGUGGAGAAGCAGUUUUUGGUGGCAUAGGCGGUACAUGGCCUUCAACACUUGGUGGUGGAGGAGAAUUAGUCGGUGGCAUAGAUCGUACAUGGCCUUCAACACUUGGUGGCGGAGGAUCAUUAUUUGGUGGUGCAGUAGGUACAUGAACUUCAAUGCUUAGUGGUGGAGGAACUUUAAUUGGUGGCGUAGGCGGUACACGACCUUCAACACUUGGUGAUGGAGGAGAAUUAGCUGGUGGCAAAGAUGGUACAUGACCUUCAACACUUGGUAGUGGAGGAGCAUCUUUUGGUGGCACCGACGGUGCUUGACUUUCAACACUUGGUGGUGGAGGAGAAGCAUCUUUUGGUCGCAAAGGCGGUACUUGACUUUCAACACUUGGUGGUGGAGGAGCAUUAUUUGGUGGCUCUGACGGUACAUGUUCAGUACUUAGUGGUGGAGAAGCAGUUUUUGGUGGCAUAGGCGGUACAUGGCCUUCAACACUUGCAGGUGGAGGAGAAUUAGUUGGUGGCAUAGAUGGUACAUGACCUUCAACACUUGGUGGCGGAGGAGCGUUAUUUGGUGGUGUAGUAGGUACAUGAACUUCAAUGCUUAGUGGUGGAGGAACAUUAAUUGGUGGCGUAGGCGGUACACGACCUUCAACACUUGGUGAUGGAGGAGAAUUAGCUGGUGGCAAAGAUGGUACAUAACCUUCAACACUUGGUAGUGGAGGAGUAUCUUUUGGUGGCACCGACGGUACUUGACUUUCAACACUUGGUGGUGGAGGAGCAUUAGUUGCUGGCGCUAACGGUACAUGAACUUCAGUACUUAGUGGUGGAGGAGCAGUUUUUGGUGGCAUAGGUGGUACAUGGCCUUCAUCACUUGCUGGUGGAGGAGAAUUAGGAGGUGGCAUAGAUGGUACAUGACCUCCAACACUUGGUGGUGGAGGAGCAUUAUUUGGUGGUGCAGAAGGUACAUGAACUUCAAUGCUUAGUGGAGGAGGAACGUUAAUUGGUGGCUUAGGCGGUACAUGACCUUCAACACUUGGUGGUGGAGGAGAAUUAGUUGGUGGCACAGACGGUACAUGACCUUCAACACUUGGUGGUGGAGGAGCAUUAUUUGGUAGCGUAGAUGGUACAUGAACUUCCAUCCUUAGUGGUGGAGGAGCACCUUUUGGUGGCAGAGACGGUACUUGAUUUUCGACACUUGGUGGUGGAGGAGCAUUAGUUGCCGGAGCUGACGGUACAUGAACUUCAGUGCUUAGUGGUGGAGGAGCAAUUUUUGGUGGCAUAGGCGGUACAUGGCCUUCAACACUUGCUGGUGGAGGAGAAUUAGGAGGUGGCAAAGAUGGUACAUGACCUCCAACACUUGGUGGUGGAGGAGCAGUUUUUGGUGGCAUAGGCGGUAGAUGGCCUUCAACACUUGGUGGUGAAGGAGCAUUAUUUGGUGGUGCAGUAGGUACAUGAACUUCAAUGCUCAGUGGUGGAGGAACAUUAACUUGUGGCGUAGGCGGUACAUGACCUUCAACACUUGGUGGUGGAGGAGAA